rnacentral:rRNA from 1 species
UACGUAGGGUGCAGGCGUUAAUCGGAAUUACUGGGCGUAAAGCGUGCGCAGGCGGUUUGCUAAGACAGGUGUGAAAUCCCCGGGCUUAACCUGGGAACUGCGCUUGUUACUGGCAAGCUGGAGUGUGGCAGAGGGGGGUGGAAUUCCACGUGUAGCAGUGAAAUGCGUAGAGAUGUGGAGGAAUACCGAUGGCGAAGGCAGCCCCCUGGGCCAAUACUGACGCUCAUGCACGAAAGCGUGGGGAGCAAACAGG